rnacentral:rRNA from 1 species
CCGGCGACCGGCGCACGGGUGAGUAACACGUAUGAAACCUGCCCGUAGCAGGGGGAUAAGCGGAAGAAAUUCCGUCUAAUACCGCGUAACAACCCAUGGAGGCAUCUCUGUGGGUUUAAAGGAAGUGAUUCCGGCUACGGAUGGUCAUGCGUCGCAUUAGCUUGUCGGCGGGGUAACGGCCCACCAAGGCGACGAUGCGUAGGGGUUCUGAGAGGAAGGUCCCCCACACUGGUACUGAGACACGGACCAGACUCCUACGGAAGGCAGCAG